CCUCUGUUGUAAAAUAAUGAGAACUAAUAACACUUUUAUAUACCUUGUAGGGAUUCAGCGAGAAUGAAAGCCCUUUUCCUCUUUCAUGGAUAAGAUGCUACAACUCAAUCUUGUCAUCUCUGCUCACCCGUCAGGAGAAAGUGUGGUGAAAUGGACAGAGGCUGUCUCUUAAUUCCACAAAAUCCUGGAACUGUAUUACAGUAUAUAGAAGUUGCCUCCGUAUCACUGCUGCUUUUCCUCUUGCUUCUGGACAUCCUGGACUCUGACUGAACACUGUAUUACUUUACACUCUCUCACUGUACAUAAGCAUGCGGCAGGACAACCAUGAGAAUGUCUGGCAGAAAC
rnacentral:lncRNA from 1 species